rfam:Triticum aestivum genome assembly, contig: Triticum_aestivum_CS42_TGACv1_scaffold_320624_4BL
GCCAGGAAGAGGAAGAAUGAGAGAGCUCAAGAGCACUGGGAAUGGGAACAUGGAGGAAAGCCCUACUUGUUUGUUUGCACCUCUAGUGUUGGAGGUGCAAAUAUUAGGCAUGGGUCCUUUCCUGAUGCCUCCCAUUCCUAUAGUUGUUGUGCACUCCUUCCUCUUCCUUUUGGAU